rnacentral:tRNA from 1 species
GCUUUGAGAAGCUUAUUACAAGCAUCGGUCUUGUAAACCGAAAACAAGACAAAUCUCUCCAAAGCU